rnacentral:rRNA from 1 species
GGUUCAGAUUGAACGCUGGCGGCAGGCCUAACACAUGCAAGUCGAGCGGUAGCACAGAGAGCUUGCUCUCGGGUGACGAGCGGCGGACGGGUGAGUAAUGUCUGGGAAACUGCCUGAUGGAGGGGGAUAACUACUGGAAACGGUAGCUAAUACCGCAUAACGUCGCAAGACCAAAGUGGGGGACCUUCGGGCCUCAUGCCAUCAGAUGUGCCCAGAUGGGAUUAGCUAGUAGGUGGGGUAACGGCUCACCUAGGCGACGAUCCCUAGCUGGUCUGAGAGGAUGACCAGCCACACUGGAACUGAGACACGGUCCAGACUCCUACGGGAGGCAGCAGUGGGGAAUAUUGCACAAUGGGCGCAAGCCUGAUGCAGCCAUGCCGCGUGUGUGAAGAAGGCCUUCGGGUUGUAAAGCACUUUCAGCGGGGAGGAAGGCGAUAAGGUUAAUAACCUUGUCGAUUGACGUUACCCGCAGAAGAAGCACCGGCUAACUCCGUGCCAGCAGCCGCGGUAAUACGGAGGGUGCAAGCGUUAAUCGGAAUUACUGGGCGUAAAGCGCACGCAGGCGGUCUGUCAAGUCGGAUGUGAAAUCCCCGGGCUCAACCUGGGAACUGCAUUCGAAACUGGCAGGCUAGAGUCUUGUAGAGGGGGGUAGAAUUCCAGGUGUAGCGGUGAAAUGCGUAGAGAUCUGGAGGAAUACCGGUGGCGAAGGCGGCCCCCUGGACAAAGACUGACGCUCAGGUGCGAAAGCGUGGGGAGCAAACAGGAUUAGAUACCCUGGUAGUCCACGCCGUAAACGAUGUCGAUUUGGAGGUUGUGCCCUUGAGGCGUGGCUUCCGGAGCUAACGCGUUAAAUCGACCGCCUGGGGAGUACGGCCGCAAGGUUAAAACUCAAAUGAAUUGACGGGGGCCCGCACAAGCGGUGGAGCAUGUGGUUUAAUUCGAUGCAACGCGAAGAACCUUACCUGGUCUUGACAUCCACAGAACUUAGCAGAGAUGCUUUGGUGCCUUCGGGAACUGUGAGACAGGUGCUGCAUGGCUGUCGUCAGCUCGUGUUGUGAAAUGUUGGGUUAAGUCCCGCAACGAGCGCAACCCUUAUCCUUUGUUGCCAGCGGUUCGGCCGGGAACUCAAAGGAGACUGCCAGUGAUAAACUGGAGGAAGGUGGGGAUGACGUCAAGUCAUCAUGGCCCUUACGACCAGGGCUACACACGUGCUACAAUGGCAUAUACAAAGAGAAGCGACCUCGCGAGAGCAAGCGGACCUCAUAAAGUAUGUCGUAGUCCGGAUUGGAGUCUGCAACUCGACUCCAUGAAGUCGGAAUCGCUAGUAAUCGUAGAUCAGAAUGCUACGGUGAAUACGUUCCCGGGCCUUGUACACACCGCCCGACACACCAUGGGAGUGGGUUGCAAAAGAAGUAGGUAGCUUAACCUUCGGGAGGGCGCUUACCACUUUGUGAUUC